CUCGCGCACAACAAUCAAAUUUCGCAAUCAUCCGGCAGCGCAUGGGCCGCGAUGACCGCACCUGGCGUCGGCUCGAUCUGGGACAAGACCGCCAUCGAAGCGCGCACCGAUCCGUCGCAGGAGCAAAGCAAGUUCGGAACGUCGCUGAGCAAGUCGCUGCCGUUCGGCGGCGAUCAAUACGCGCUCACCCUGCAGCACGGAUACAAUGUCACGCAGCAAACGCUGGUGCCGGUGUUCGGCCUCGGCGCGUCGUCGCGCAUUUAUGAAAUCGAUCAGUCCGCCAAGCUCGGCAUCGCCGAAACCGGCACAAGUUUCAUCGCAGGCCAGACCNNNNNNNNAUGGCUGCGCCGGAUUGGUGCGGAGCAGAAACUGUUCGGCGGCGUCACUGUGACCGGAUCGGUCAGCGAAACCCCAAGCGGCGCUCCA
rnacentral:misc_RNA from 1 species